AAAAAAAAAAAAAAAAAACAUAUAUGGGGCAUGAUGCUGCCUAAUCUGCUGUUGAAACCAAAACUUUGUUACAAAAAUGCCAAUUGAUUGAUUGUAAUAAUUACAAUUGCUGCAUUGAUUAUCAAUUUCUAGCCAACUGGUGUUUCUUUUCUGAAUUGUUUAAGUUACAUCUAUCUAGUUUUUCUGUUUAGAAGUUAAUUUAUAAUGAGAAGUGAAUUGCAGUAGAUGCCUUUUGUGGUUAUAUUAGCUAUUAUUCUAGCCAUUUUUAUUUUUGAUCUAAGGUAAACAUGUGAAUCGAAACUGUACUUAGAUGUUAUUGAUGCUGAGAUGCUAUGGAACAUAUAGAGCCUCAAUUAUUCUUCUGUCAUUUUUUGUAUGUGAUUUUUGCAGUAUUGAGGAUAUAUAUAUAUAUAU
rnacentral:misc_RNA from 1 species